rnacentral:rRNA from 1 species
GAUGAACGCUGGCGGCGUGCCUAAUACAUGCAAGUCGAGCGAACAGACGAGGAGCUUGCUCCUCUGACGUUAGCGGCGGACGGGUGAGUAACGCGUGGAUAACCUACCUAUAAGACUGGGAUAACUUCGGGAAACCGGAGCUAAUACCGGAUAAUAUAUUGAACCGCAUGGUUCAAUAGUGAAAGACGGUUUUGCUGUCACUUAUAGAUGGAUCCGCGCCGCAUUAGCUAGUUGGUAAGGUAACGGCUUACCAAGGCAACGAUGCGUAGCCGACCUGAGAGGGUGAUCGGCCACACUGGAACUGAGACACGGUCCAGACUCCUACGGGAGGCAGCAGUAGGGAAUCUUCCGCAAUGGGCGAAAGCCUGACGGAGCAACGCCGCGUGAGUGAUGAAGGUCUUCGGAUCGUAAAACUCUGUUAUUAGGGAAGAACAAUUGUGUAAGUAACUAUGCACGUCUUGACGGUACCUAAUCAGAAAGCCACGGCUAACUACGUG